UUUAUAAAUAAUAGUACUCGAUAUAAUUCGCACGAAUGAUCGAAAUGAAAAACUUGUAAUCGGACGUAACGUUGAGUGUUUGAGAGAGAGAGAGAAAGAGAGAGAUGAUGCUUUUUUUAGCCAGAUUGUACAAAAACAUUUAAUUUCGUCAUUGACUCCAAGGAAGACUAAAAGUGAGAAGAAUACAAGAGGAC